UGUUAGGGUUUAGGUGAUAUCUUAAGAUCCACAAUGAAUUUGCAGUUGAAAUUUGUUGUAGUAGUUGUUAGAAGUACAUCUGUACUUUUUAUAAAAUUUGAGUGUGUUUGAAUAGUCUGAUUGGAAGAUAUGAGUUGUUGAAGUUCAAGAAUAAUACUCCAUAAGGAUAUUUAAGGAUUUAGAGGUUUUAUCAUAUUUUGGAUGUUUGGGGAACUUAAGACUUAUAUAUUUGGUAUAAUAGCACCUA
rnacentral:lncRNA from 1 species